rnacentral:rRNA from 1 species
UUCUUCUUGUGUUUAAAUGUGAGGUAGGAUCUGCCCACUGACUUUUUGUUGAAGGGCCGCGGUAUUUUGACCGUGCAAAGGUAGCAUAAUCAUUAGUUUUUUAAUUGAGGACUGGUAUGAAUGAUUGUACGAGAGGUAAUCUGUUUCUAUUUGUUUAUAGAUUGAAUUUAAAUUUUAAGUUAAAAUGCUUAAAUUUUUUAGUGGGACGAGAAGACCCUAUAGAGUUUUAUUAUUAAUUGGUUAUAUAGUUUGAUUAUUUAUUAAUUUUUUAUUAAUUUAAUUGGGGUGAUUGGAAGAUAUUUAAAACUCUUUUAUUUGAUUUUUAUUUAUUUAUUUAUUUGUGAUCCAUUUUUAUUGAUUAUUAGAAAAAAUUACCUUAGGGAUAACAGCGUAAUCUUUUUUGAGAGUUCUUAUUGAUAAAAGGGGUUGCGACCUCGAUGUUGGAUUAAGGUAAAAGUUGGGUGUAGAAGUUCAUAAUUUAGGUCUGUUCGACCUUUAAAACCUUACA